rnacentral:lncRNA from 1 species
GUUUCCUGUCGCGUGGAUGUGUUUCCUCUCUCUGGCCAUUGCCAUCCGCCCAAAUCUACAGACAUCCCGCAUGUUCCCGGGCUCGUCUCCCCAAUACAGGGCACCUAGCAUCCUACCAAGGCGAAUCCAUUGACCAGGAUUUAAAUUGAGACUCCCCCAGGACCCCGGGUGCAGCAUCUGGGUCCCCCUGCCCCGCCCUGCCUUGCGCCGCAGCCGCUUCCGUUGUCCUGCCAGGCUGUAGACUGCGCAGCCCUCCUGGAGACAGAUGGAAGCUCCUUGGGUCGACAGAUUACAGCUUCUGGAACCCCCUACUCCCUUCAACUCCGAGAUGGACACCCACUGUCCAGGGAGAGGAUGCCUGGAAAUAACAGCUGGGAUCUACAGUGGCCAAAGAGUUGUCUCCGUCUUGCUACAUCUACAAACUGGUGCUCCUGAGUGAGGAUUGUGCCCUGGGAUGGGGGAUUCAGUUUCUUCAUUUAUAGUUGGAAGUGUGAAGGUAAGCCACUUCGGAAGCGUUUUCCUCUCCACUCUGUGACAACAGGCAAGAGUGAGGGUCCAACAAUACAGAGGAAGUAACGUGUCGCUGCUACUCUUCCAUGCCCAGUGCCAGGAGCGACGGUACACUCCAGAGUGUUGUGCCCUGAUGGGCCUUUGAGCGGCCAGUGCAGUGGAUCAUCAGCCCUGUCUCCCAAGAGCUCCAAUCUCUUCUCUGGAGAGGAAGGGAGUCCACUGGCAGCUCAGGAGGCCAUAGCAGGAUUGUCACGUGUGCUCAACAGUCCUCCUCGGCUUUCCAGAAGAGGCUGGAACAGGGCCCUUGAAGAUGUUUGUGGACAUCAGAGGGCCAAAGACGACACAAAGUGAAACUGGAGACACCGCCCCCCCCCCCCUGGCAUCAUGAAACUGCCGAUGUUACUGGCUCAUGCAAAGGCUGUGUUCUGUCCCUGUGACCAUCAGCCAGUGCCUGGAAAGACUGGUGACAAGAACUUGUUGCCAACUUCCUAUUACCUCCCUAACAGUUGUGCAAUAAACCCCAUAGGUUAAUUCAGUCUGCCUUUUAAAUCUGUGUCAACCCAUGAACUCAGGGUUGGGUGUGGAAAAGGAGGCUAGCUCCUGUCACUCCUGUGACUUUCCUGUUCUUAAUGCUCCCUGAGGCUUGGGCUUCAGGGUGUUGACAGUGGACAAGUAGGGCUGGUAGUCUAUAUGAUUUUAGGGCUUGUGAGAGUUGAGAUAGCUGAACAGGCAAGGUCAGAACUUGGGGAAGGUGCCUCUGUCAGUAAAAAAAGGCUGGGGUGUCACAGUCCUAGGAAGUGACGUAUCAUUGCUGAGAACUAGGGGUGUGAAUGGGCAAUUGGACUGGAAUAUAAAAUGUAGAGCAUUUUCCUGACAGGACAGGUUGCUGUAGACAGGAACUAGGGUAUGCUCAGGGACUGGCUUUGGAGGACUUUAUGGAACAGAAAGAAGUACUCCGGGUGGGGUGUCAGGUGGGGUGGAAGAGAAGAAACGCCCUUGACUGACUUGGAUACCAAUAGGGCC